CACGUAGGCGGGUAUGUAAGUCGGUUGUGAAAUCCUCUGGCUCAACCAGAGAAUUGCAGCCGAAACUGCAUACCUUGAGUAUAGCAGAGGGAAUCGGAAUCCUAGGUGUAGCGGUGAAAUGCGUAGAUAUCUAGGAGAACACCAGUGGCGAAGGCGGAUUCCUGGGCUAGUACUGACGCUGAGGUGCGAAAGCGUGGGGAGCGAACAGGAUUAGAUACCCUGGUAGUCC
rnacentral:rRNA from 1 species